GGGGAAUUUUGGACAAUGGGCGCAAGCCUGAUCCAGCAAUGCCGCGUGCAGGAUGAAGGCCUUCGGGUUGUAAACUGCUUUUGUACGGAACGAAAAGCCUCUCUCUAAUACCUCGGGAGGAUGACGGUACCUGAAGAAUAAGCACCGGCUAACUACGUGCCAGCAGCCGCGGUAAUACGUAGGGUGCGAGCGUUAAUCGGAAUUACUGGGCGUAAAGCGUGCGCAGGCGGCUUUGCAAGACAGAGGUGAAAUCCCCGGGCUCAACCUGGGAACUGCCUUUGUGACUGCAAGGCUAGAGUACGGCAGAGGGGGAUGGAAUUCCGCGUGUAGCAGUGAAAUGCGUAGAUAUGCGGAGGAACACCAAUGGCGAAGGCAAUCCCCUGGGCCUGUACUGACGCUCAUGCACGAAAGCGUGGGGAGCAAACA
rnacentral:rRNA from 1 species